UAGGUACAGUAGCCCGGAGUAUGUAGAGGUUGGGAGAGGACAGUAGGCUGGAGUAUGUAGAGGUUGGGAGAGGACAGUAGGAACAGUAGGCUGGAGUAUGUAGAGGUUGGGAGAGGACAGUAGGUACAGUAGCCUGGAGUAUGUAGAGGUUGGGAGAGGACCGUAGGAACAGUAGGCUGGAGUAUGUAGAGGUUGGGAGAGGACAGUAGGUACAGUAGGCUGGAGUAUGUAGAGGUUGGGAGAGGACAGUAGGUACAGUAGCCUGGAGUAUGUAGAGGUUGGGAGAGGACCGUAGGAACAGUAGGCUGGAGUAUGUAGAGGUUGGGAGAGGACCGUAGGAACAGUAGGCUGGAGUAUGUAGAGGUUGGGAGAGGACAGUAGGUACAGUAGGCUGGAGUAUGUAGAGGUUGGGAGAGGACAGUAGGUACAGUAGCCUGGAGUAUGUAGAGGUUGGGAGAGGACAGUAGGCUGGAGUAUGUAGAGGUUGGGAGAGGACAGUAGGUACAGUAGGCUGGAGUAUGUAGAGGUUGGGAGAGGACAGUAGGUACAGUAGGCUGGAGUAUGUAGAGGUUGGGAGAGGACAGUAGGUACAGUAGGCUGGAGUAUGUAGAGGUUGGGAGAGGACAGUAGGUACAGUAGGCUGGAGUAUGUAGAGGUUGGGAGAGGACAGUAGGCUGGAGUAUGUAGAGGUUGGGAGAGGACCGUAGGAACAGUAGGCUGGAGUAUGUAGAGGUUGGGAGAGGACAGUAGGUACAGUAGCCUGGAGUAUGUAGAGGUUGGGAGAGGACCGUAGGAACAGUAGGCUGGAGUAUGUAGAGGUUGGGAGAGGACAGUAGGUACAGUAGGCUGGAGUAUGUAGAGGUUGGGAGAGGACCGUAGGAACAGUAGGCUGGAGUAUGUAGAGGUUGGGAGAGGACAGUAGGUACAGUAGGCUGGAGUAUGUAGAGGUUGGGAGAGGACAGUAGGUACAGUAGGCUGGAGUAUGUAGAGGUUGGGAGAGGACCGUAGGUACAGUAGGCUGGAGUAUGUAGAGGUUGGGAGAGGACCGUAGGUACAGUAGGCUGGAGUAUGUAGAGGUUGGGAGAGAACAGUAGCUCAGUAGGCUGGAGUAUGUAGAGGUUGGGAGAGGACAGUAGGUACAGUAGCCUGGAGUAUGUAGAGGUUGGGAGAGGACAGUAGGAACAGUAGGCUGGAGUAUAUAGAGGUUGGGAGAGGACAGUAGGAACAGUAGGCUGGAGUAUGUAGAGGUUGUGAGAGGACAGUAGGUACAGUAGGCUGGAGUAUGUAGAGGUUGGGAGAGGACAGUAGGAACAGUAGGCUGGAGUAUGUAGAGGUUGUGAGAGGACAGUAGGUACAGUAGGCUGGAGUAUGUAGAGGUUGGGAGAGGACAGUAGGUCAGUAGGCUGGAGUAUGUAGAGGUUGGGAGAGGAUCAGUAGGUACAGUAGACUGGAGUAUGUAGAGGUUGGGAGAGGACAGUAGGUACAGUAGACUGGAGUAUGUAGAGGUUGGGAGAGGACAGUAGGCUGGAGUAUGUAGAGGUUGGGAGAGGACAGUAGGAACAGUAGGCUGGAGUAUGUAGAGGUUGGGAGAGGACAGUAGGAACAGUAGGCUGGAGUAUGUAGAGGUUGGGAGAGGACAGUAGGCUGGAGUAUGUAGAGGUUGGGAGAGGACAGUAGGAACAGUAGGCUGGAGUAUGUAGAGGUUGGGAGAGGACAGUAGGAACAGUAGGCUGGAGUAUGUAGAGGUUGGGAGAGGACAGUAGGCUGGAGUAUGUAGAGGUUGGGAGAGGACAGUAGGCUGGAGUAUGUGGAGGUUGGGAGAGGACAGUAGGCUGGAGUAUGUUGAGGUUGGGAGAGGACAGUAGGUACAGUAGGCUGGAGUAUGUAGAGGUUGGGAGAGGACAUUAGGUACAGUAGGCUGGAGUAUGUAGAGGUUGGGAGAGGACAGUAGGAACAGUAGGCUGGAGUAUGUAGAGGUUGGGAGAGGACAGUAGGUACAGUAGGCUGGAGUAUGUAGAGGUUGGGAGAGGACAGUAUGUACAGUAGCCUGGAGUAUGUAGAGGUUGGGAGAGGACAGUAGGUACAGUAGGCUGGAGUAUGUAGAGGUUGGGAGAGGACAGUAGGUACAGUAGGCUGGAGUAUGUAGAGGUUGGGAGAGGACAGUAGGUACAGUAGCCUGGAGUAUGUAGAGGUUGGGAGAGGACAGUAGGUACAGUAGGCUGGAGUAUGUAGAGGUUGGGAGAGGACAGUAGGCUGGAGUAUGUAGAGGUUGGGAGAGGACAGUAGGAACAGUAGACUGGAGUAUGUAUAGGUUGGGAGAGGACAGUAGGUACAGUAGGCUGGAGUAUGUAGAGGUUGGGAGAGGACAGUAGGCUGGAGUAUGUAGAGGUUGGGAGAGGACAGUAGGUACAGUAGCCUGGAGUAUGUAGAGGUUAGGAGAGGACAGUAGGUACAGUAGGCUGGAGUAUGUAGAGGUUGGGAGAGGACAGUAGACUGGAGUAUGUAGAGGUUGGGAGAGGACAGUAGGAACAGUAGGCUGGAGUAUGUAGAGGUUGGGAGAGGACAGUAGGAACAGUAGGCUGGAGUAUGUAGAGGUUGGGAGAGGACAGUAGGUACAGUAGGCUGGAGUAUGUAGAGGUUGGGAGAGGACAGUAGGAACAGUAGACUGGAGUAUGUAGAGGUUGGGAGAGGACAGUAGGCUGGAGUAUGUAGAGGUUGGGAGAGGACAGUAGGAACAGUAGACUGGAGUAUGUAGAGGUUGGGAGAGGACAGUAGGAACAGUAGGCUGGAGUAUGUAGAGGUUGGGAGAGGACAGUAGGAACAGUAGGCUGGAGUAUGUAGAGGUUGGGAGAGGACAGUAGACUGGAGUAUGUAGAGGUUGGGAGAGGACAGUAGGCUGGAGUAUGUAGAGGUUGGGAGAGGACAGUAGGAACAGUAGGCUGGAGUAUGUAGAGGUUGGGAGAGGACAGGAGGCUGGAGUAUGUAGAGGUUGGGAGAGGACAGUAGGAACAGUAGGCUGGAGUAUGUAGAGGUUGGGAGAGGACAGUAGACUGGAGUAUGUAGAGGUUGGGAGAGGACAGUAGGCUGGAGUAUGUAGAGGUUGGGAGAGGACAGUAGACUGGAGUAUGUAGAGGUUGGGAGAGGACAGUAGGUACAGUAGGCUGGAGUAUGUAGAGGUUGGGAGAGGACAGUAGGAACAGUAGGCUGGAGUAUGUAGAGGUUGGGAGAGGACAGUAGGAACAGUAGGCUGGAGUAUGUAGAGGUUGGGAGAGGACAGUAGGUACAGUAGCCUGGAGUAUGUAGAGGUUGGGAGAGGACAGUAGGCUGGAGUAUGUAGAGGUUGGGAGAGGACAGUAGGUACAGUAGACUGGAGUAUGUAGAGGUUGGGAGAGAACAGUAGGAACAGUAGCCUGGAGUAUGUAGAGGUUAGGAGAGGACAGUAGGUACAGUAGGCUGGAGUAUGUAGAGGUUGGGAGAGGACAGUAGGAACAGUAGGCUGGAGUAUGUAGAGGUUGGGAGAGGACAGUAGGUACAGUAGCCUGGAGUAUGUAGAGGUUGGGAGAGGACAGUAGACUGGAGUAUGUAGAGGUUGGGAGAGGACAGUAGGUACAGAAGGCUGGAGUAUGUAGAGGUUGGGAGAGGACAGUAGGUACAGUAGGCUGGAGUAUGUAGAGGUUGGGAGAGGACAGUAGGUACAGUAGGCUGGAGUAUGUAGAGGUUGGGAGAGGACAGUAGGUACAGUAGGCUGGAGUAUGUAGAGGUUGGGAGAGGACAGUAGUACAGUAGCCUGGAGUAUGUAGAGGUUGGGAGAGGACAGUAGGUACAGUAGGCUGGAGUAUGUAGAGGUUGGGAGAGGACAGUAGGUACAGUAGGCUGGAGUAUGUAGAGGUUGGGAGAGGACAGUAGGUACAGUAGGCUGGAGUAUGUAGAGGUUGGGAGAGGACAGUAGGUACAGUAGCCUGGAGUAUGUAGAGGUUGGGAGAGGACAGUAGGUACAGUAGGCUGGAGUAUGUAGAGGUUGGGAGAGGACAGUAGGAACAGUAGGCUGGAGUAUGUAGAGGUUGGGAGAGGACAGUAGGCUGGAGUAUGUAGAGGUUGGGAGAGGUCAGUAGAUUAUGGCCCCUUUCUCUCUCUUUUCUCCUUCUCUGACACUCUUGCCGUCUUCAUUGUCACGUCUCUCUCUGUCCUGUUUCCUGUCCCCAUCAUGGGGCACUGGGAGGAGGCAGAGCCUAUCAGGUCCUUGCGGCACCUAACACCACUGUGACACCUCUUUAUAAAGUAACAGAAUAUAAGGCGAGUGACAACAGCCUGUCUCCACCAGCCAGCUCCUGACAA